AUUGAACGCUGGCGGAAUGCUUUACACAUGCAAGUCGAACGGCAGCACGGGGCAACCUGGUGGCGAGUGGCGAACGGGUGAGUAAUACAUCGGAACGUGCCCAAUCGUGGGGGAUAACGUAGCGAAAGUUACGCUAAUACCGCAUACGAUCUACGGAUGAAAGCGGGGGAUCGCAAGACCUCGCGCGAAUGGAGCGGCCGAUGUCAGAUUAGGUAGUUGGUGGGGUAAAGGCUCACCAAGCCGACGAUCUGUAGCUGGUCUGAGAGGACGACCAGCCACACUGGGACUGAGACACGGCCCAGACUCCUACGGGAGGCAGCAGUGGGGAAUUUUGGACAAUGGGCGAAAGCCUGAUCCAGCCAUUCCGCGUGCAGGAUGAAGGCCUUCGGGUUGUAGACUGCUUUUGUACGGAACGAAACGGUCCUUUCUAAUACAAGGGGCUAAUGACGGUACCGUAAGAAUAAGCACCGGCUAACUACGUGCCAGCCGCCGCAGUAA
rnacentral:rRNA from 1 species